CCUUGAGAUGUACCUGCCUUUGUGUUCAGCUUAUAUGUUGCGUGACUAGGAACAACGGUAUUAAAGAAUUUUGUAGUUGAAGGUUGAAGGUCAAGGAGAGACAACAUGGACUUGAGAAGCAGGUCUGUUCCGUGUGGAGGACACCGAAAGAGGUGGAGGCCGCCAGGGCGUUAGAGCCACCUCAGUCCAAAGGCCUGCUUGUUUAGUUAACUUAACAGAAGGUUCUCAUGGACAUCCUACUUCAUGAGGUUAGAGAAGCCGCAGGGCAUAAAGCAAAAGGCUCCUGGUGUGGAACAGACACAAGGAGGCCUCGGGCUGCACUUGCCCAGAGCUGGUCGCAGUCUGCCUGGAACUGGGCAUGUCAAACCGUGCAAGAACAGAGACUCCUUGGAAAUGGCAGUGUGUCUGCCUGGACUGUGCAUGUGAAGGAGCAGAGGGCGAGGAG
rnacentral:lncRNA from 1 species